UACAGAGGUGGCAAGCGUUGUUCGGAAUUACUGGGCGUAAAGGGCGCGUAGGCGGCUCUUUAAGUCCCGUGUGAAAGCCCCGGCUCAACCGGGGAACUGCACGGGAAACUGGAAGGCUUGAGUUCGGGAGAGGGAAGCGGAAUUCCGGGUGUAGCGGUGAAAUGCGUAGAUAUCCGGAGGAACACCGGUGGCGAAGGCGGCUUCCUGGACCGACACUGACGCU
rnacentral:rRNA from 1 species